rnacentral:lncRNA from 1 species
CUGGCUGAGAGUUUGGGUUUCAUUAUGAACAAAAUAUGGAGGACCCUCCAAAUAGAGAUAAUUAAAAGAUUUAUAAUAUGUUACAUGCUGUCCAACAACCAUUGUAAUCGAGAUGUAAUGACCACUCUGAGUUAUCUGUUACUGUUAGAUUAUUAAGCAUCAAACCUAAGGAGAAUAUUUUUCAAUGGUCAUUUGAUCAAAUGGUAGAACUUUUGAAAGAGACACAUCCACUCGAUAAUCUUUUUCUAUAGGACAAAGAAAUUGGUAUCUAAACUUGGCCUC